AACUUGUAUCUUGUGAAACAGAAGGGCAUGCCUACGGCCCUGGGAACCCACAAGCAAGAAGA
ensembl:miRNA Mir7217 microRNA 7217